rnacentral:rRNA from 1 species
GACGAACGCUGGCGGCGUGCUUAACACAUGCAAGUCGAACGGAAAGGCCCUGCUUUUGUGGGGUGCUCGAGUGGCGAACGGGUGCGUAACACGUGAGUAACCUGCCCUUGACUUUGGGAUAACUUCAGGAAACUGGGGCUAAUACCGGAUAGGAGCUCCUGCUGCAUGGUGGGGGUUGGAAAGUUUCGGCGGUUGGGGAUGGACGCGCGGCUUAUCAGCUUGUUGGUGGGGUAGUGGCUUACCAAGGCUUUGACGGGUAGCCGGCCUGAGAGGGUGACCGGCCACAUUGGGACUGAGAUACGGCGCAGACUCCUACGGGAGGCAGCAGUGGGGAAUAUUGCACAAUGGGCGGAAGCCUGAUGCAGCAACGCCGCGUGCGGGAUGACGGCCUUCGGGUUGUAAACCGCUUUCGCCUGUGACGAAGCGUGAGUGACGGUAAUGGGUAAAGAAGCACCGGCUAACUACGUG